rnacentral:rRNA from 1 species
UAACACGUGGGUAACCUACCUAUAAGACUGGGAUAACUUCGGGAAACCGGAGCUAAUACCGGAUAACAUUUGGAACCGCAUGGUUCUAAAGUGAAAGAUGGUUUUGCUAUCACUUAUAGAUGGACCCGCGCCGUAUUAGCUAGCUGGUAAGGUAACGGCUUACCAAGGCGACGAUACGUAGCCGACCUGAGAGGGUGAUCGGCCACACUGGAACUGAGACACGGUCCAGACUCCUACGGGAGGCAGCAGUAGGGAAUCUUCCGCAAUGGGCGAAAGCCUGACGGAGCAACGCCGCGUGAGUGAUGAAGGGUUUCGGCUCGUAAAACUCUGUUAUUAGGGAAGAACAAACGUGUAAGUAACUGUGCACGUCUUGACGGUACCUAAUCAGAAAGCCACGGCUAACUACGUGCCAGCAGCCGCGGUAAUACGUAGGUGGCAAGCGUUAUCCGGAAUUACUGGGCGUAAAGCGCGCGUAGGCGGUUUCUUAAGUCUGAUGUGAAAGCCCACGGCUCAACCGUGGAGGGUCAUUGGAAACUGGGAAACUUGAGUGCAGAAGAGGAAAGUGGAAUUCCAUGUGUAGCGGUGAAAUGCGCAGAGAUAUGGAGGAACACCAGUGGCGAAGGCGACUUUCUGGUCUGUAACUGACGCUGAUGUGCGAAAGCGUGGGGAUCAAACAGGAUUAGAUACCCUGGUAGUCCACGCCGUAAACGAUGAGUGCUAAGUGU